UCAGGCCUAACACAUGCAAGUCGAGCGCUACCUUCGGGAAGAGCGGCGGACGGGUUAGUAACGCGUGGGAACGUGCCCUUCUCUAAGGAAUAGCCACUGGAAACGGUGAGUAAUACCUUAUACGCCCUUCGGGGGAAAGAUUUAUCGGAGAAGGAUCGGCCCGCGUUAGAUUAGAUAGUUGGUGGGGUAACGGCCUACCAAGUCUACGAUCUAUAGCUGGUUUUAGAGGAUGAUCAGCAACACUGUGACUGAGACACGGCCCAGACUCCUACGGGAGGCAGCAGUGGGGAAUCUUGGACAAUGGGCGCAAGCCUGAUCCAGCCAUGCCGCGUGAGUGAUGAAGGCCCUAGGGUCGUAAAGCUCUUUCGCCUGUGAAGAUAAUGACGGUAGCAGGUAAAGAAACCCCGGCUAACUCCGUGCCAGCAGCCGCGGUAAUACGGAGGGGGUUAGCGUUGUUCGGAAUUACUGGGCGUAAAGCGUACGUAGGCGGAUUAGUCAGUCAGAGGUGAAAUCCCAGGGCUCAACCCUGGAACUGCCUUUGAUACUGCUAGUCUUGAGUUCGAGAGAGGUAAGUGGAAUUCCGAGUGUAGAGGUGAAAUUCGUAGAUAUUCGGAGGAACACCAGUGGCGAAGGCGGCUUACUGGCUCGAUACUGACGCUGAGGUACGAAAGUGUGGGGAGCAAACAGGAUUAGAUACCCU
rnacentral:rRNA from 1 species